AUAAGUUUUGCUCACUGAAUGUAUGAGAAACAUAUUAUCUUCUACAUUUUACCAUGAAAAUCUAAAAAUGGUGAACUGAAACCAGCUUAGGUAAUAGUCUAAUGGUCUUUUGUUCAUCUUCGUGUAGGAAAGUAGGUUUUAGGGGUUUUAUCUUAUGUUUUUGGAGCUUGGUGGCCAUGUGACAGAAGGAUUUCUAUUCUUCUUUUUUAUUGUUGUGAAAUUAGGUAUAUGUUGGAGUAACUUAAGCUUUCUUGUUGUACAGGUUCACUUUCCUUCUUUUUCUAUGCUUAAUUUACGAUGAUACGUCCCCACCCUGCAGGAAUUGAUAAUUUAAAUGCCUGCGGGAGCUGAAUCAUCCUCUGAUUCUUGGUCACAGCAAGAAGAUAUCUGACUGGAGUUGGCUGUUACGGAUGCUGGAAUUCUUAAAAAGCUUGCUCCUACAAUUGGUAUCGCUGUGGACCACAGCGUAGAAACAAGUCAUUGGAAGGGCUCCAAACCAUUUUCUAACGUCUUAAGACAUACUAGGCCAAGCUCGUUUUCUUCCCAAGAGAUGCAGGCAAAUUCAAGGCAAAUUUUUAUCUGCCUCUUUAUGUACAGCAAAUAUUUGCGUUUUCCUGCAUUUUAUAUGCUAUCGUUCCGGUGCCUUUUUUAGGAG